CACAGACGAGAACAUUUGCGGUGGUCUGAGAGCUUCUGUUUUUUAAAAAAAACCAGAACGAACGCCUAUGAUUUAUUUUCCAUGCAACACAUUACAAAAGUGCUGUGGAACACACGAAAGAGUUUUUGAAGGUGCUCUCUGAUUUAAGAUGACCAUGUUAGCAAAGAUAACACUAUAUACAGUGAUUUUGGUUCACCUAGUUUUAAUCUGUCGUGGUGGGGAUCAGUCCGACUUCGAGCACGUAGUCACCGAGGAAUACUGGAACGAAGUUGAAGAACAAGACAAUCAAGGCAACGAAGAAACAAUCUGUUGGUUCAACGAUAGAAUCCUAAGAGUUGGCGAAAAACUGAGCAACAAUUGUGUUUGCAGGAAGUCUGGUUAUAUUGUGUGCCCGUAGCGUUUAAAGCAACGGCUGGCGUUCAGUCAGGAUAAACCUUCGAAAAAUGAAACGAGGAAGAAAUAAACUCUAUUGUAGUUAGCUUUAAAGACGCGAAUUACUUAAAACAUGGAAGACGAUGGUGCGACUAGAAAUUCAGCCUGACUUGACGAGUUUUCUUUCAAACUGACAUUUGAAGGCUACCUAAUUUCAUUUUUGGAAGUAAUAAACACUAUUAAAAAAAAAAACAACAACAACAACAACAUUGUCGCUUGGCAGGAGCUUAGACGAAUCACAAGAUUCUUUCUGCAUGCCGUGAUUUUUUUCGUAAAUCUAAACUUUUUUUAUACUGUGGCGAAUAAAGGAAUCGUAUAUUAUAUUCCGGAGUCGUAUGUUGUAUAUUUAUUUUGAUAAUUUAAAACCACUGUUUAUCUGAUUUAUCGAUUUAAUUGUUAAUUUUGCCUUCGGUCGUUUCAUCUUUGGUCUCAGAUUUACAUUUUCUAAUAUCAAAACUUUAAAAUAUUUCCUUAGUUAUGAGAGAUACCGCUGAAUAGGUUUUACCGAGUUGUCACCCACUGGAUAUUAUACAUUUAGCUAAAGUUAUAGUUGGCGAGUUUCGAUCCGCUGAAUUUCUCAGUCUGCUUGAUAUUCUACUAGUUUUUGUAAAUCAUUUUGUGUCGUAGCGACUUCUCAUCAAAAUUUACAAAUCU